rnacentral:rRNA from 4 species
CCCUUUGGGUGUGACUGCGUACCUUUUGUAUAAUGGGUCAGCGACUUAUAUUCUGUAGCAAGGUUAACCGAAUAGGGGAGCCGGAGGGAAACCGAGUCUUAACCGGGCGUUAAGUUGCAGGGUAUAGACCCGAAACCCGGUGAUCUAGCCAUGGGCAGGUUGAAGGUUGGGUAACACUAACUGGAGGACCGAACCGACUAAUGUUGAAAAAUUAGCGGAUGACCUGUGGCUGGGGGUGAAAGGCCAAUCAAACCGGGAGAUAGCUGGUUCUCCCCGAAAGCUAUUUAGGUAGCGCCUCGUGAAUUCAUCUCCGGGGGUAGAGCACUGUUUCGGCUAGGGGGCCAUCCCGGCUUACCAACCCGAUGCAAACUGCGAAUACCGGAGAAUGUUAUCACGGGAGACACACGGCGGGUGCUAACGUCCGUCGUGAAGAGGGAAACAACCCAGACCGCCAGCUAAGGUCCCAAAGUCAUGGUUAAGUGGGAAACGAUGUGGGAAGGCCCAGACAGCCAGGAUGUUGGCUUAGAAGCAGCCAUCAUUUAAAGAAAGCGUAAUAGCUCACUGGUCGAGUCGGCCUGCGCGGAAGAUGUAACGGGGCUAAACCAUGCACCGAAGCUGCGGCAGCGACACUGUGUGUUGUUGGGUAGGGGAGCGUUCUGUAAGCCUGUGAAGGUGUGUCGUGAGGCAUGCUGGAGGUAUCAGAAGUGCGAAUGCUGACAUAAGUAACGAUAAAGCGGGUGAAAAGCCCGCUCGCCGGAAGACCAAGGGUUCCUGUCCAACGUUAAUCGGGGCAGGGUGAGUCGACCCCUAAGGCGAGGCCGAAAGGCGUAGUCGAUGGGAAACGGGUUAAUAUUCCCGUACUUGGUGUUACUGCGAAGGGGGGACGGAGAAGGCUAUGUUGGCCGGG